AUACGUAGGGGGCGAGCGUUGUCCGGAAUGACUGGGCGUAAAGGGCGUGUAGGCGGCCGAUUAAGUCUGGAGUGAAAGUCCUGCUUUCAAGGUGGGAAUUGCUUUGGAGACUGGUUGGCUUGAGUGCGGAAGAGGUAAGUGGAAUUCCCAGUGUAGCGGUGAAAUGCGUAGAUAUUAGGAGGAACACCAGUGGCGAAGGCGGCUUGCUGGACGACAACUGACGCUGAGGCGCGAAAGCGUGGGGAGCAAACAGGAUUAGAUACCCUGGUAGUCCACGCAGUAAACGAUGAUGGCUAACCGCUGGGCUUAUCAGUUCAGUGGCCAAGCGAAAGCGAUAAGCCAUCCACCUGGGGAGUACGACCGCAAGGUUGAAACUCAAAGGAAUUGACGGGG
rnacentral:rRNA from 1 species